GCGAUAAAUAGAGCGCUCUUCAACGAGAUAAACGUCGCCAGCAAACUGACCGCGAACAACGCACGACUGAAUAGCCAACGACGGUUGCCAGCCCAACAACAUAAAACCCCAACACAGUUGAACACUGUCACCAUAGAUUCGAACGCUGAGCAGGUCGAAACGCGGGUUGUUUUCCGGCUCCCGUAAAAGCCGUAACUUUGCGUCGGUGGGACCACUGUACUGAUUAGCCCAUUUCCGUUGGCGUUAAGCCUACAUCAAUAGGCUUUUUCAUUGGUAAAUUUUGGUGAGUUUGGUAAAGAUCCAGCGAGCAUUGCUGUGCCUCAAGAUUCUGCCAAUAGGGCAAUUGGUCAAACCUUCAGAAAGUGGCGUAAUCGAUGGUGUCUGAAAACUCAUGACGAUCGUAGCUCUGUGAUUAAUGGUAAUGGACGUGCGCGAAUAUGUGUGUCUACGGAAUACAUGCAGGAAAUGUAAGAAAAAGAGGCUUGGACAAAUGAAAAAUAUGUAUUAAACUGUGGGUUAGCAGCGACAUUUUGGGAUGCUUCGUAAUUCAUCAGUGGACCUUCAUUUUAGUCGAAUCGGAUACGCCCAAAUAAUUAACUCUAAAUUAAUUUAAACUAUGUGAGCGGUGAUAUUACACUCUAUAAAAGGGGAAUUAACAAGAGUUAACUGUUCAUCUGGUAAGUCAGUGAUAGGGUUCUUUAUGACACAUUUCCAUAAAUUUUCUUUGCUCCUGUGAUACCUUCUUUGGUCCUACUUUGGUCGAAUACUUACCGAAUCCAAAACCUAGCUUUUUCAGCCAAGGCACACUUGUAUAUUCUGAAAACCGCUUUUCUUUAAAACACUUUUUAGCUUUAACUUCUGACAUCCUAAAGCAUCAUUGGUUAAAUGGAUUUUUUGAAAAAUCUACUAUUUUAAAACAACAUCAUAAAAGUAGUCCUAUUGAACCGACCUAAGGAGAACCAAAUGGAAAUAUUUAAUGGUUUUUUGUCCUACUUCUCAAAACCUUUUAUUGCGGCUAAAAGAAAUAUCCUAGAUAAGCCUUGUGGCUAACUUCAUGCAACUUUUUAAUUUUUCCGAUUUUGUUAAUAGAUGAUUUCCUGAAGCGAACAGAGGCAAUGGUAUACUUUUGACAUUUCUGAACCAAAUAAAUUUGCAGUACAAACCGUGUCUACUGGAUCACACGCAAUUUGUAUUUUUUUGGCUGACCAUCAUCCCUAGCUGAGUUCUUUGUUACUAGUGACGAAUGUUCGAUUAUGUGCGCAAGACCGACAUUUUGGCCUGCAUCUAUUCUGCAAAUGCAGCCAACACGAUUCAUAAGACUUUUGACAAAAAGCUUAGGGCUGAAUCUCAGGGACGUAGAUCUGCAAGCGCUUCGGAACGUUCUCUAAAACGAAAAUCUAAUUACUAUUCAUAGCAAUUAGUGGUAUAGUAACUACUAUCUAAUUUUUUUUACAUUUUGCUCAGUUUUUUUUUAAGAACAACAAUAACAUGUUAAAAUCAUCUUAAGAAAAUAUUUUAAUAGAACAGCAUAGAAAAAUUGGAAUAAGGGCUGCUAUAAAUCGACAAGACAGACCCGACCAAGUGGCGUUGAACAGUUGCUACUAAUUAUUGGUCAUUUUGCUAACAUAGGGCUUUUAGAAACCCGAUGAUUCGGAAAUACUAUGCAGGGUUUGCGCAAUAAAAGCCGAUAAGUCUGCGGUGUUUCUAUUGCAGUCGCCGCAGAGCCAAAAUAUCAGCUUGAUUAAUCCACAUGUGGGGCUCUAGGAUUGCAUCAACGUCUCACAUAGUAUUGGAACUGGUAAUUUUGUCUUCUUUUUACCGAAAGCUUUAACGCAUGUUUAUACUUUCAGUGGCCUAAGAUGUACUGUGGCACUUUCUAGGCAUUAAGAUCAGGAUACCGUUAGACAACCAAAGUAGAUCUUUACAUCAACUUGCCGGUUUUGUCGAGCUUCGAAUUUAAUUUAGAGUAUCGUAAUUUGUGACACCAAAAGAAUCAAAAAGAGAUGUUUACUAAACCACAAAUGGACUUUCAGUUUCACACGUGUCUGACCGUUUUCAAACCAUUGAGACAUUUUUUUGUUUUCAAGUGUAAUAUAAUUAGUAAUUUUACCGAUCCGACUGUUACAAGAAGACGUUCGUUCUGGAGAGUUAGAUAGCUCCUAAAUAGAGUUGUCUAGUUAACUACACAUAUUUAUGUAACGUAAUAACGAUUUUCAAAUGAAUUUAUGUUGCUUACGCAAAACCUAAAUUGCUACGAAUUAAUAGGAAGAGCUUACUGAAAUAUCUAAGCGGUGAAUUUCUUCAGAGCCAGUAACGGAUAUGUACUCAGAGCGUCGUCAUGGCUAUUCUUCCUGCUAAUUUCAUGUGUGACUUUCUUACAUAUAAUUUGAUGAGCAAUUGCCCGACCUAAGGAGCAUCAGGUGAGUCACUUUUAAGGAGACCUUUGAAAUCAGAGCGGGUUGCCUUCCCUUUUGUGAAUGCAAUUGCGUCAUUGAGCAGCUAUCUAGUUGUUUUGUUUAUUAUAAUCGGGUUCUUUCUCGAAGAAGAUGAAGGCAAAAAAGAGCAGGAGAAGUGGAUGUCCUAAAGUGGAUGAUGGACCUUGCCUAUGGGGGUCGGACGGAGGCACUCUGCGUUCAUGUUCGGCUCCUGUCAUGAUCGCGAUUUUCGUUAAUCAAGGAAGGUAGGUCAGCGCUAGAAAAAGAGAACGAUAAAAAUGCUGACAAAGCAAGUUAGUUGUUCCCUUCGACAACGUUACCCAAAACCCUGAAUAUGCAGUGACCAUUUAACAACUCUACUGUACACCUCAGGAUCCACACCACUUGCACACUGAUUCAUACGGAUACUCUGUAGCUGCUAAAAUUUCGAAGAAAGCAUUGAAAAUUCGUGUUCGCUUCAAAUUGUCCUCAACUCAACUUUCCAAAAUGAUGACUGUGGACCGGCAUGAGGCUACGGCGAUACUUCUGUUCGAUAUCAUUGACCCUUUCCCGACCGAUUUUGCUUGCAUAGUGAUAAUAUCGCCUAUCUGAUGACGAUGGCGAUCGUAAUGAUGAAAAUGCUGCCGAUUAUCAUAAUAGCAUGACAUUGGUUCGGUAGCCAGUCUUUAGCCUCUGUUUGCGAUGAGUCUCUCUGAUAAAACGGAAGGUCUUGAACAAACAGCAGAAAGAAAGAGGAUUGGGGGCAAAUGAAAGCGCGUCAAGCGACUAAAUGAUGGCAUUCG